rnacentral:tRNA from 1 species
AAAGGGAGACCUAAUUCAGGUAGGAGACGAAAAAAAAGUAGUCGCUACCAAGAAUCAAUCCCAAAAGGUCGGAGCGAGGCGAAAUUGGCUUUCAAACUAGGUUCUGGGUUCAAACAAGACCUGAAUCAGGAACAAGGGCUAUUAGCUCAGGUGGUUAGAGCGCACCCCUGAUAAGGGUGAGGUCCCUGGUUCGAGUCCAGGAUGGCCCACCUGUACAGGUGGCAAAAGAAAGAAAAGAAGCGAGGAAUCAGCACCUUAUCUUAUUUAUAUAGUAAGAGAGAAUGCUGGCUCUGAGUUCAGAGUCCAGAGGAACCUUGAAAACUGCAUAGAGCUAGGUGAAAAAGCCAAAGAAGAAGACCGCAAG